UCGGAUAUGGUGUAUCGGCUAGCAUCACCCGCUCUCAAUCAGAGCAUUGUGCCCCGGGUAGAGCCGGGUUCGACUCCCGGUAUCCGAA